UAAUACGGGGGGGGCAAGCGUUGUUCGGAAUUACUGGGCGUAAAGGGCUCGUAGGCGGCCAACUAAGUCGGACGUGAAAUCCCCAGGCUUAACCUGGGAACUGCGUCCGAUACUGGAUGGCUUGAAUUCGGGAGAGGGAUGCAGAAUUCCAGGUGUAGCGGUGAAAUGCGUAGAUAUCUGGAGGAAUACCGGUGGCGAAGGCGGCAUCCUGGACCGACAUUGACGCUGAUGAGCGAAAGCCAGGGGAGCAAACGGGAUUAGAUACCCCGGUAGUCCUGGCCCUAAACGAUGAAUGCUUGGUGUGACGGGUAUCGAUCCCUGUCGUGCCGAAGCUAACGCAUUAAGCAUUCCGCCUGGGGAGUACGGUCGCAAGGCU
rnacentral:rRNA from 1 species